rnacentral:rRNA from 1 species
UUGAACGCUGGCGGCAUGCCUUACACAUGCAAGUCGAACGGUAACAGGGAGCUUGCUCCGCUGACGAGUGGCGAACGGGUGAGUAAUGUAUCGGAACGUACCAUUCAGUGGGGGAUAACGUAGCGAAAGUUACGCUAAUACCGCAUAUUCUGUGAGCAGGAAAGCAGGGGAUCGCAAGACCUUGCGCUGAUUGAGCGGCCGAUAUCAGAUUAGCUAGUUGGUGAGGUAAAAGCUCACCAAGGCGACGAUCUGUAGCGGGUCUGAGAGGAGGAUCCGCCACACUGGAACUGAGACACGGUCCAGACUCCUACGGGAGGCAGCAGUGGGGAAUUUUGGACAAUGGGGGCAACCCUGAUCCAGCCAUGCCGCGUGAGUGAAGAAGGCCUUCGGGUUGUAAAGCUCUUUCAGCCGGGAAGGAAACGCAUGGGUUAAUACCCUGUGUGGAUGACGGUACCGUAAGAAGAAGCACCGGCUAACUACGU